UCUUCCAUCUUUGAGGUGGGGGUUGUGCUGGGCGAGGCUGAGCCCAAACACAGCUACCAGAAUGACAAACUUCAUGAUUUCCCUAGCUCGGUGCCUGAGUGGAGUCUAGCUUCCCAGCUGACUCCACUCAGGCAAUCAACUACCUCUACGGCUCCCGGACAGCUGACGAUCAUCGACCUGAUUACACACCUCUGCAAUAAGAACCGACUCAUCCUUCCACUCCCUGCCAGAUUGUUGAACCAAGACACCUCAGUCAGCUGUCUGGGAUCCCCGCCAUCCUCCUUCCCCACCGGCUCUCCCCAACCCAGUCAUCACCGGUUUAUCCCUCCUGGACCCUCCUGCUCAUGCCUGGACUCCCUAUUCCUGCCUGGACCCCUUCUGUCCCUGCCUGGAUUCCCCCCGUU